UACGUAGGGUGCGAGCGUUGUCCGGAAUUACUGGGCGUAAAGAGCUUGUAGGUGGUUUGUCGCGUUGUUCGUGAAAACUCACAACUCAAUUGUGGGCGUGCGGGCGAUACGGGCAGACUGGAGUACUGCAGGGGAGACUGGAAUUCCUGGUGUAGCGGUGGAAUGCGCAGAUAUCAGGAGGAACACCGGUGGCGAAGGCGGGUCUCUGGGCAGUAACUGACGCUGAGGAGCGAAAGCGUGGGGAGCGAACAGG
rnacentral:rRNA from 1 species